rnacentral:rRNA from 1 species
GCAGUCGACGCUUCUUUCCUCCCGAGUGCUUGCACUCAAUUGGAAAGAGGAGUGGCGGACGGGUGAGUAACACGUGGGUAACCUACCCAUCAGAGGGGGAUAACACUUGGAAACAGGUGCUAAUACCGCAUAACAGUUUAUGCCGCAUGGCAUAAGAGUGAAAGGCGCUUUCGGGUGUCGCUGAUGGAUGGACCCGCGGUGCAUUAGCUAGUUGGUGAGGUAACGGCUCACCAAGGCCACGAUGCAUAGCCGACCCGAGAGGGUGAUCGGCCACACUGGGACUGAGACACGGCCCAGACUCCUACGGGAGGCAGCAGUAGGGAAUCUUCGGCAAUGGACGAAAGUCUGACCGAGCAACGCCGCGUGAGUGAAGAAGGUUUUCGGAUCGUAAAACUCUGUUGUUAGAGAAGAACAAGGACGUUAGUAACUGAACGUCCCCUGACGGUAUCUAACCAGAAAGCCACGGCUAACUACGUGCCAGCAGCCGCGGUAAUACGUAGGUGGCAAGCGUUGUCCGGAUUUAUUGGGCGUAAAGCGAGCGCAGGCGGUUUCUUAAGUCUGAUGUGAAAGCCCCCGGCUCAACCGGGGAGGGUCAUUGGAAACUGGGAGACUUGAGUGCAGAAGAGGAGAGUGGAAUUCCAUGUGUAGCGGUGAAAUGCGUAGAUAUAUGGAGGAACACCAGUGGCGAAGGCGGCUCUCUGGUCUGUAACUGACGCUGAAGCUCGAAAGC